GUAAUAUUUUAUAAUAAUUACAAAUUAGACUGAGUUUAAUAAAUCUUUUUUGGUAAAAUCUAUCUGAUAUCUUUAGAUUAAAGUCAUACUUGCUUUAUAAAAAUAAUCAAAAUGUAUGUUCUUCCUUUUCUCUGAUGUAGAUAGUUUGAUAUCCUCUACUCUUGAUGGAUUUGGUUUAUUUCUCCUUGGAAAAUCUCCUUCUGGAAGACUACACCUCAGGACUCAGUUCCUAUUCCAGAGGAACAGAACCGCUCUUUCUGCAGGGAGUUUGGCGCAGUGGCCUUCCUGUCACGGGGUAGGCGGGGCCCAGGGUGCAGAGCAUGGGGUGGGAGUGUGUGUGGGGUAUAGCUGGGAUAGAAAGAGGAGGGGGGUCAAGGGGGAGUCGGAAGGAGAGAGGAGGUGGUGAGAAUGAAAAGGUGGCAUGAAGGUGGGAAGGGAAAGGCAGAAACCCGCAUCUGGGAGAGGAAAGGGAGGGGGAGAGUGACAGGAGUCCCAGUGGGUGGGGGUGGGGUAGGAGAGGAAGAGCUCUUGCCAUGGCCCCAGUUCUGUUUUGGGGGUUUUCUGUCCCUGGCCAGAAGUAGCCUUGACUGCAUUCAUGAGAAGAGGCCUUGACUCAUGACCUCUCUUCUCUGGGUUGUUCGGAAGUGUAACGUGUGUGUGCAGGAACAUGGGCAUGGGGCACUUGAAUUAAUUUGCACAUAAUCUGGUGAAUUUUCACAGUCUGCACACCGGAGGAGAAAGCAGAAGGUUAAAGAAACCCCAAGAAUCUCUCUGUGCUCUGUUCCAGCCUGCUCCAAGAUUCUGACACCUCAGAGUAAGUAUAGAUAUUUUUUCUAUUUGAAUAUUGGUUUGAGUCCGGUGCCGCAGCUCACUAGGCUAAUCCUCCACCUGCAGUGCCAGCACCCCGGGUUCUAGUCCCAGUUGGGGCGCCAGAUUCUGUCCUGGUUGCUCCUCUUCCAGUCCAGCUCUCUGCUGUGGCCCGGGAAGGCAGUGGAGGAUGGCCCAAGUGCUUGGGCCCUGCACCCACAUGGGAGACCAGGAGGAAGUGCCUGGCUCCUGGCUUCAGAUUGGUGCAGCACCGAUCAUAGCGUGCCGGCCGUGGCGGCCAUUUGGAGGGUGAACCAACAGAAGGAGGACCUUUCUCUCUGUCUCGCUCUCUCACUGUCUAACUCUGCCCGCAAAAAAUAAAAACUAAAUAUUGGUUUGAAAGGCA
rnacentral:lncRNA from 1 species